GACCGGUAGGAGAACUAACCAGGAUUCCCUUAGUAACGGCGAGUGAAGCGGGAAGAGCCCAGCACCGAAUCUCCCGGCCAUUGGGCGGCGAGAAAUGUGGUGUAUAGGCGGCCGAUUGUCGCCGGCGUCGAGCGCUCAAGUCCUCCUGAUUGUGGCCUUACCCAGAGCGGGUGUCAGGCCCUUUCGGCGCGAGACCCGGUGGCUUCGAGCCUCCUUGGAGUCGGGUUGUUUGGGAAUGCAGCCCAAAGCGGGUGGUAAACUCCACCUAAGGCUAAAUACUGGCACGAGUCCGAUAGCGGACAAGUACCGUGAGGGAAAGUUGAAAAGCACUUUGAAGAGAGAGUUCAAGAGUACGUGAAACCGCAUAGAGUCAAACGGGUGGAUCCGCAAAGUCGACCCGGGGAAUUCAGCUCGGCCGCCUGCGGCCCGUCGGGAGCCGGGGAUCCUUUAACGGGACCCCGUCCUGGCGGCGCUCGUGGAUGGCCGGGUGCACUUUCUCCGCCGUCGAGUGCCACGACCGAUUCUGCGGCGGUGAUAAGCCCGGCGGCAAGGUAGCUCAGCUCUUCGGGGCGGAGUGUUAUAGGCCGUCGAGGUGGACACGUCGCGGGAUCGAGGACGCUUGCCGCGUCAGCCGGCCUCGGGCCGUUCUGGGGUUCUCGACCUCGGACGCACUGCUCUGCAGGGCGCCGUAACCGCACUCCGGACACGGGUCCGUCCGCCGUCGACGCUUCGGGUCAGUGGCGAAUCGGUCGGUCCUCCACCCGACCCGUCUGAAAAACACGGAAA
rnacentral:rRNA from 1 species